CCUACGGGUGGCUGCAGUGGGGAAUAUUGCACAAUGGGGGAAACCCUGAUGCAGCGACGCCGCGUGAGUGAAGAAGUAUUUCGUUAUGUAAAGCUCUAUCAGCAGGGAAGAAAAUGACGGUAUCUGCGUAAUACGCCCCGGCUAACUCCGUGCCAGCAGCCGCGGUAAUACGUAGGGGGCAAGCGUUACCCGGAUUUACUGGGCGUAAAGGGUGCGUAGACGGGGGUGUAAGUCUGGGGUGAAAGGCGGGGGCUUAACUCCAGGACUGCCCUGGAAACUGUACGGCUGGAGUGCGGGAGAGGUAGGUGGAAUUCCUGGUGUAGCGGUAAAAUGCGUAGAGAUUAAGAGGAACACUAAUGGCGAAGGCGACUUGCUGGACUGUAACUGACGUUGAGGCACGAAAGCGUGGGGAGCAAACAGGAUUAGAUACCCGGGUAGUC
rnacentral:rRNA from 1 species